CAAUCAGUUUAGCAUACUGAAGGAGCAGGCAUUUGUAUUAUUAUGUCAAUAAGAUGCGAAUAUCAUAAACUCAUUCGACUUGUUUAUUCUAGCUUAAGAAUGAAAACUCUAACUAUAUUGCAAUUUUUUUACCUCGUUAUUGUGCUGCUGUAUUUUCUCUGCCUGUCUUCAGAUGCAUGUUCUGAAACCCACAAACAAAAUAAUGUCACAGACCCAAUGGAGAAGAGGUACAGGCAAUGGAUGAAACGUCAUGGACGAAGAUAUGGUAGCAGAGAAGAAUGGAAUUUUCGCUUCGGGAUUUACCAAUCCAAUCUUCAAUUGAUUGAAUAUAUAAAUUCUCAGAAUCUCUCAUACAAACUGAGAGACAAUGAAUUUGCAGAUAUGACAAACCUAGAAUUCAGAUCUGCCUACUUGGGUUAUAAGAGCCCAAGAUUUUUGCACAAGGGAGGAUAUAAUUUUACAUUUGAUAAUUCUCUAGCACCACCAAGCAUGGACUGGAGAAAGAGAGGUGCAGUGACUCCUGUGAAAAAUCAGGGCAAUUGUGGUACAUACUUCUCUGUUUUCACAGUUAUUGCACAGUAAAAACUGUCGAGACAUAUUUUGAUCUCAAUUAUUUUUAACUCAACUUUUAGCAUUCAAAUAUAAGAACAAAACAAUCAUGACAGUGAAAUCACAUGAUAUAUUCUCUUCAAAGAGUGUAUUCAGAUUUGAAUAUUAUAUUAGUUACCGUGUAUAUCUCCCAUUGCAGGCAGUUGUUGGGCGUUUUCCACAAUAGCAGCAGUCGAAGGCAUCAACAAGAUCAAGACUGGCAAAUUGGUGUCUUUGUCGGAACAAGAACUCAUUGACUGUGAUUACAACAAAUAUAACCAAGGUUGUCAAGGUGGAUCUAUGGAAAAAGCAUUUGCUUUCAUCGAGAAAAUUGGUGGCAUAACAACAGAAAAAGAUUAUCCAUAUGAAGGGAAAAAUGACAGAUGUAACACCAUCGAAGAAAAAAAAAGGGCAGCAAAAAUAAGUAGCUAUAAAGCUAUACCUGCCGGUAGCGAGGAAGCUCUACUUGCUGCAGUGGCAAAACAACCAGUCUCUGUUGCCAUUGAUGCUAGUGGGUAUGACUUUCAACUGUACUCUAGCGGGAUCUUCUCUGGGUAUUGUGGGAAAAAUCUCAAUCAUGGCGUAGCGGCUGUUGGCUAUGGCGAAGCAAAUGGUGAGAAGUACUGGCUUGUGAAGAAUUCAUGGGGCGCUCAUUGGGGUGAAGCAGGUUAUAUCAAAAUGAAGCGUGAUUCUGCUGAUAAAGAUGGGAUAUGCGGCAUUGCAAUGGAAGCCAGCUACCCAGUUAAAAAGUCUCGAGGAAUUUUAUGUUGACGUUAGUUUCCUCAUGGAACGGUGUAAAAACUUGAUACUAUGUCAAGUUAAAUAUACAAAUAAAUUUCACGGAUAAAUCAUGAGAUAAAAUCGAAAAUGGUAGAAAACACUACUAAGAAACACAAAGAGUAGAUUGAAGAAACUUGCACAUUAUGCAUAUGUAAGUGAUCUAGCGGUUUGUUACUCAUAUCAC
rnacentral:lncRNA from 1 species